rnacentral:rRNA from 1 species
GAUGAACGCUGGCGGCGUGCCUAAUACAUGCAAGUCGAGCGAAUGGAUUAAGAGCUUGCUCUUAUGAAGUUAGCGGCGGACGGGUGAGUAACACGUGGGUAACCUGCCCAUAAGACUGGGAUAACUCCGGGAAACCGGGGCUAAUACCGGAUAACAUUUUGAACCGCAUGGUUCGAAAUUGAAAGGCGGCUUCGGCUGUUACUUAUGGAUGGACCCGGGUCGCAUUAGCUAGUUGGUGAGGUAACGGCUCACCAAGGCAACGAUGCGUAGCCGACCUGAGAGGGUGAUCGGCCACACUGGGACUGAGACACGGCCCAGACUCCUACGGGAGGCAGCAGUAGGGAAUCUUCCGCAAUGGACGAAAGUCUGACGGAGCAACGCCGCGUGAGUGAUGAAGGCUUUCGGGUCGUAAAACUCUGUUGUUAAGGAAGAACAAGUGCUAGUUGAAUAAGCUGGCACCUUGACGGUACCUAACCAGAAAGCCACGGCUAACUACGUGCCAGCAGCCGCAGUAA